rnacentral:rRNA from 1 species
GACGAACGCUGGCGGCGUGCUUAACACAUGCAAGUCGAACGGAAAGGCCCUGCUUGCAGGGUACUCGAGUGGCGAACGGGUGAGUAACACGUGGGUGAUCUGCCCUGCACUUCGGGAUAAGCCUGGGCAACUGGGUCUAAUACCGGAUAGGAGCCAUUUUUAGUGUGAUGGUUGGAAAGUUUUUUCGGUGUAGGAUGAGCUGGCGGCCUAUCAGCUUGUUGGGGGGGUAAUGGCCUACCAAGGCGGCGACGGGUCGCCGGCCUGAGAGGGUGGACGGCCACAUAGGGACUGAGAGACGGCCCAGACUCCGACGGGAGGCAGCAGUGGGGAAUAUUGCACAAGGGGCGCAAGCCUGAUGCAGCGACGCCGCGUGGGGGAUGACGGCCUUCGGGUUGUAAACUCCUUUCGCUAGGGACGAAGCUUUUUGUGACGGUACCUAGAGAAGAAGCACCGGCUAACUACGUG